GGGACAUAAAAAUACUGCCUUACUGGUAUUUUUCAAAGUGCAACACUUUCUAUAUUUUGAAGUUUGAAAACAAUUCAAUAUUUUGUUCAAGAUACCUAAUUAGGUAGCAAUCAUCAAAUAGUUCACACUAUCAGAAUCACCUCUUACCAUGUUCAGAUCCUUACCUAUAGACAUUUGACCUGAAAACAUUAGAAGAAUUUCUGUCCAAUGGCAAAAAUCUUUCUUGCAAAAAGAUAAAGUGUUGCGAGAUAUUUACUAUGUUGUGUUUCUUUUCUUUUAAAGAGAACAUACAGUUUGUUACGAAUAAAAUGUUAGAUAUCUUUAUAUUUUAGUAUGUAACGAAUCAAUAAAAGGGCCUAAACAGUCGUACUUUUUAAAUUUUUAUUAAUCAUUUUAUAUGUACUAUAGGAAGCCAUAUUUACGUCUCUACUAAAAGGGCUUGUCUGCAUUACAAUGAAAAGUAGAGUGUUAAAAUAUGUGAACUAAAAGAGGUCUUCCAGAUAUGAAAGGUAUUAUCUCAAACUAUGUACGUAGAAAUUAUGGAAAGUCAAACACAAUUUUGUAAUUAAGCUGCAACAUUUUAACUUAAAUUGUAGCUUAUAAAAUAUAAAAUAAAAAAUAGAACCACUGAAGGAUUAAGUCUAAAAAAUAUAAAAUGUUGCUGUUACAGUAAAAUUAACAAAUGUUACAAUG